GCCUCUGUAGCUCACUUGGUUAGAGCACUGCACCGGAAUCGCAAGACCGUAGGUUCAAUUCCUACCAGAGGAC